rnacentral:rRNA from 1 species
GUUAGUUGGUGAGGUAACGGCUCACCAAGACGACGACGGGUAGCCGGCCUGAGAGGGCGACCGGCCACACUGGGACUGAGACACUGCCCAGACUCCUACGGGAGGCUGCAGUCGAGAAUCUUCGGCAAUGGGCGCAAGCCUGACCGAGCGACGCCGCGUGGAGGACGAAGGCCUUCGGGUUGUAAACUCCUGUCGAGGGGGAACAGGACGCGGUGCAGAGCCGCGUUUGAGUGAACCCUGGAGGAAGCACGGGCUAAGUUCGUGCCAGCAGCCGCGGUAAGACGAACCGUGCGAACGUUAUUCGGAAUCACUGGGCUUAAAGCGCGUGUAGGCGGCCCGGCACGUCCGUCGCUGAAAUCCCCCGGCUCAACCGGGGAAGUGGCGUGGAUACGACCGGGCUGGAGGGGGGUAGGGGGAGCCGGAACUUCCGGUGGAGCGGUGAAAUGCGUUGAGAUCGGAAGGAACGCCCGUGGCGAAAGCGGGCUCCUGGACCCCACCUGACGCUGAGACGCGAAAGCCAGGGGAGCGAACGGGAUUAGAUACCCCGGUAGUCCUGGCCGUAAACCAUGAGCAACUGGGUACAGGCUCGGCGAUGGGCUCUCUGCCGAACGCAAACGAUGANNGCAUCACAUGG